rnacentral:lncRNA from 1 species
AAGCAUGAGAAAGCUUAUACUAGAGAUGUAGUGUCUUCCUUUUAAGUGUAUGGUUGAUAUUUGUUCUUGGAAUGAGAAGAGAUGAAAUGGAAAGAUAGAGAAAAGGAAAGAAAGAAAGAAAAAACGUGGAACAGGGGAAGUAGAGAAAGUGAAAGAAGAAACUAGAAAUGUGGAGAAUUGAUGGGUGGGGUGGGGUUCAG